CCUACGGGUGGCAGCAGUGAGGAAUAUUGGUCAAUGGGCGCGAGCCUGAACCAGCCAAGUCGCGUGAGGGAAGACGGUCCUAUGGAUUGUAAACCUCUUUUGUCGGGGAGCAAAAGACGCCACGCGUGGCGUUCCGAGAGUCCCCGAAGAAAAAGCAUCGGCUAACUCCGUGCCAGCAGCCCCGGUACUACGGGGGAGGCGAGCGUUAUCCGGAUUUAUUGGGUUUAAGGGGUGCGCAGGGGGAAGAUCAAGUCAGCGGUAAAAUUGAGAGGCUCAACCUCUUCGAGCCGUUGAAACUGGUUUUCUUGAGUGCGUGAGAAGUAUGAGGAAUGUGUGGUGUAGCGGUGAAAUGCAUAGAUAUCACGCAGAACACCGAUUGCGAAGGCAGCAUACCGGCGCUCAACUGACGCUCAUGCACGAAAGUGUGGGUAUCGAACAGGAUUAGAUACCCGGGUAGUC
rnacentral:rRNA from 1 species